ACGAACGCUGGCGGCGUGCCUAACACAUGCAAGUCGAACGUGAAAGUCCUUCGGGAUGAGUAAAGUGGCGCACGGGUGAGUAACACGUGGAUAAUCUACCCGACGAUCUGGGAUAACAUUCCGAAAGGGGUGCUAAUACCGGAUAAGCCCACGGGAUCUUCGGAUUCUGCGGGAAAAGGGGGGGACCUUCGGGCCUUCUGUCGUCGGAUGAGUCCGCGUACCAUUAGCUAGUUGGUAGGGUAAUGGCCUACCAAGGCUACGAUGGUUAGCUGGUCUGAGAGGAUGAUCAGCCACACUGGAACUGAGACACGGUCCAGACUCCUACGGGAGGCAGCAGUGGGGAAUUUUGCGCAAUGGGGGAAACCCUGACGCAGCAACGCCGCGUGAGUGAUGAAGGCCUUCGGGUCGUAAAGCUCUGUCAGAGGGAAAGAAAUGUAUUAUGGCUAAUAUCCAUGAUACUUGACGGUACCCUCAAAGGAAGCACCGGCUAACUCCGUGCCAGCAGCCGCGGUAAUACGGAGGGUGCGAGCGUUGUUCGGAAUUAUUGGGCGUAAAGCGCGUGUAGGCGGUCUUUUAAGUCUGAUGUGAAAGCCCCGGGCUCAACCUGGGAAGUGCAUUGGAUACUGGGAGACUUGAAUACGGGAGAGGGCAGUGGAAUUCCUAGUGUAGGAGUGAAAUCCGUAGAUAUUAGGAGGAACACCGGUGGCGAAGGCGGCUGCCUGGACCGAUAUUGACGCUGAGACGCGAAAGCGUGGGGAGCAAACAGGAUUAGAUACCCUGGUAGUCCACGCCGUAAACGAUGAGUACUAGGUGUUGCGGGUAUUGACCCCUGCAGUGCCGCAGCUAACGCAUUAAGUACUCCGCCUGGGGAGUACGGUCGCAAGACUAAA
rnacentral:rRNA from 1 species